rnacentral:lncRNA from 1 species
CCUUCUCAGCUCCGCUUUGCGAUCUCUGCUCAGAUUCGUAAUAACGCUCACGUCACCGAUCCUAAGGCACUUCCCCUAAUCUCACUCUCAUUGGUUACCACAUUGACACGAAACAUUUGAACGGUUUCCUGUAUUGUUAAGCUGAUUGCUUCAUUGAUGUUUAGGAGAUCAGUCUUUACUUUCUAUUGCGAUUUUGACUUUUUUAAUUGUCAUCUAUGUUUGAAAGUCGAAAGCUUUACCUUAUGGAUGACAAAGUGUCUUUUGUGUAUUGGGUGCUGACUGCUGAGUGGAGAUUUUCUCAGAGUAUAAAGGUAGGAGCUUUACACAGUUACUCUCUGCUAAAGCUGUGCCACCUUGUGGUUCCUUUUGCAUGUGACAUUAGACUUUUUCUUCUUUGCAUUUUUUGUAUUGUUAAUCUGAUUGCUUUUUGAUGCUUAGGAGAUUGUGUUUGCGUUCUAUUGUGAUUUUGACUUGUUUUAAUUAUCAUCUAUCUUUGAAAGUUGAAAGCUUUACCUUCUGGAUAGUAUGGAGGAUGAAGUGUCUUCUGUAUUGGGUGGGGAGCUUUACACCGUUACUUUCUGCUAAAGCUGUGCUACCUUGUGGUUCCUUCUGUAUGUGACCUUAGGCAUUUUCUUCUUUACAUUUUUCUAAAACAAAAUGGAAGCAGAAGACAACAACAGUAUAUUACUUCGAAGCAUAAAUGGACUUUUUAUGUUUGGUAGUACCCUAUGUUAAGAUUUGCUUGUGUGGCGAUUUGUUUCGAGUUUUGAACCAUCAAUUGAAGGCAGCUUCUUGUGUGUUUGGAUUCUGUGAUCUCGUAUUGUGUUGGCUCUCUGUUUAGAUGCUUUUAGAAUGCAAUCUAUACUAUUUCCUGAUGAUAGUUUGUUGCUUCUGCAGGUGAUUGAUCUUCUUUUAUUCAAGGGGAUGGAAGAGCUCACUGACAUAGUGGAUCAUGCAAAGCAGCGUCACCACAUUAUCGGUCAGUACGUGGUGGGUGAAGGGCUGGUGCAGAAUACCGGAAGCAAAGAUCAAGGGAAGUCUGAUUUUCUCAAGAACUUCUACACCAGUAACUACGUUUGAGCUGGUGAUUGUUUUCUCUACUGGAUUACCAAAUUCGAGAAUAAUUAGACAUUUUCAUUUGUAUUAAUUUCACCAAACAUUCAAGUUUUAUCUGUGACCUGUGCAAAUAAUGCUAUGAUUUCAAGAUACAUAAUCAGCUCUCUUUUCUUUCCAACUCUCAAUGUAAACUGAAUGUCUAUUUGACUUAUGAUGAUAAUACAAUCUAAAUUCCUGAAAGUAUCCCAUCUUCUGUCAUGUUUUGGUUGCUAAGAUAUUACACUGAUGUUCUACAAGCUCUCAAUGUUCAAAGACUAUAAACAUUCACUCUUUAGAAACUAACACAACCUGAUUGGCUAAAGAUUACAACACACAACAAUCUAAGUCUGAGGAUCUCAGGAAACUAUUUCAAAAUCUGCUUUCCAAAAUAUUGCUUUUGGUAAGAAUCUGAGAAGGCCUUGCUUUGUGAUCUCUCUCUCUCUCUCUUGGAAGGAGUGUCCCUACCGUACAAUUAUGUAUAGAGCUGAGCAACGCACAAUUCUUGUGUGUUCACUCUCUUGGCCUGGCAAGCCACAAGGAACUAAGGGCCCGUAGUCGAGAUGAAUAAUCAUGUAUAGCAAGAAGAGCACGAGCUGACUGACGCGUUGUCAACACUCUAAUCAUCUGUUGCAGUGUUUGCAGCCUCAAGUUAUCAGCCUGUCACCAAGAAAUGCAUGCCCUAUGAACUCCAAUAACAAACAGAGAUACCUAUGCAUAAGAUUUAUCUCUUUUCAUUACAGGAUAUAUAUCUAACGAACAUACAUUCGCAUUCCAAAUGUACCUGGCGUAUAAAGCCUUCAAGUGUGCCUAAUUGCCCCAUCGCCAUGGCCAUCUGACCCAUGUAGCUCGCAACAUUAUCAGACGAACUUGAACCAAGAGUUCCACUAGACAAAGUCUCAGCUAAAGAUUGCUGUAAACUCUCCAUCCCUUGAGAUAACGCAUCUUCAGCCUGCUGGGAGGUCUGCUGCAAGCUGUUAAUGCCCAACACCUGUCGUUCCGUCAUUGGCUCCAGCUGAUUCGCAAGAAGCUGUCGUAAAAAAGCUUUGACCCGUUAAGAGUUGGUUUCAUCAAAAUGUCUCAAUGAACUUGUACAGCUCACCUUGAGAAGUUCGGAUGAGCGGAACCCGCCAAGCCACAAGAAACAUCUCUCAGCUGGCGUUUUCCACAUUCCAGAUAGUAAAUGGAAGACAUCGUUCUUAGCUGCAUUGCUCUUAAUCCUGAAAAGCUCCUCAUAGUGAGCCAUCGCUCCAUCCACAAUUGUCCGGAGCUCGGUAUCACCAGCGUGAGCAUUCAGAGCAGAUCUGAGCUCGUUCAUUAGCCUGUUCUUUUCUUCAAGCCAUCGUGAAUGUUCGGCAUCAAAUGCCAAAGCCCCUGCAAGAAGACAAGUACAUAAGAUUAAUAACAAACCCAUGAUACUCACAUCUAUCAAACCUAAGCCUACACCAGCUUGAACAUAACAUUAACUUCCCAUCCAGAUGCUACCUGACUCUUGAAACUAUGAACUUUAAACAAGCCUUAUGUUGCCAUGAGAUGAGUUAUGCAAUCACCAAUCCAUCAACAAACAUCAAGCCACUAGCCAAUGAAGAAUAUGCAAUUAUCUUUCCUAUAAGUUACAAGCCUAAAAGAUCAAUCUGAAAACAAAUGGAUAAAAAGGAAAACAACCCACCAUUUCCACUUGUAGAAUGGGCUUGGUCUCCAGAGCUUGAGAUGAAAACUCCCUAAAAUUGUAGAAGUAAGAAAUAUUAGUAUAUAUGCAGAAGUCCUACUUACAAGAAUCAAACCAAAUAAGAGGGAAAAAAAAGAGUUGAACCUGCUGCCUUGCUCUUUGCAGCUCUUGCUCAAGUUGAGUCAGCUUCAAUCGGCUGUUCUCCAGCUGCUGAACAUACGCCUAUGGAGGAAACAAUAACAUGUUGCAAGGUAAUGGCAAAUAGCUUAUUUUUCUACAGAUGUUGCAAGGAAAUGAGGAGGAAUAUACCUUCUUCCUCAGUCUACUUUUCCUUGCUGCCUCACGAUUUUGAGCAAGCCUACGAAGGGUCUAUGGAUAGAAAAAAAAAAGGAUUAUGCAUAUGAGCAAUAUAAGAAGAUAGUUAUAGAUCGGCAGAGAUGAAUAUAUCACCUUUUGAUCUAACUUAUCUUUUGAUCGAUCACUGGAAUCAGAAGCACCGGCAAGCAUCAUUUGCCCUCUCUCGGACUGCAUGUAAGUAACAUCAGGAGUUAGUCCUGUGGAUUUGGCUCUACCGGUAGAAUGCCCCAAGGGACCCCGGUUCAAGCCUGCCACGAGUGACACUGUAAGAGAAAAUAAAAUAAGGAAAUGAUAAGAGCCAGAUUACGAGCUAACCCCCAGAUCUCUAGGAUCUGUGUCGCCAUCAGUUGAAGCAUCAGUCCUUGAACUGGUAUCAGCCAUAUUGAUUUAUGUACUAAUACUUAAUGCCGAGACAAAUAUUCACGACUGCUCCAACUUGCAGUGCGGCGAUUAACCUCUGGUGCAGAAUAACACUAUAGGGCUGCAAAGAGGAAGAGAAAAACAACUAAAGCACCCUACCAAAACAACCAAUAUGAAUGGACAAGGAACAACCAGUGAACUAUUGACUGAGCUAAAUGAAAAUAUAAACAGUUUUUAAGCACUAGUAUCUCUUGUAUAAGCUUGUGGUUUUAGGCACACGCACGAGGGAUCAAGUUAUUGGUUAACUGAAACCGGCUUAAGUCACACUACAGUAGCUUUAUUAACUACUUGAGCCUCUUAAUUAGGAAACAGAUUCAGAACAAAGACAACGGUUUAUGUAAACUAACAUCAACUGAAACCAAACCGAGGCUUGUUAAUCUAUCACAAGCGAGAGAACUAAGCACAGAAGCUGCAGUUCAUAAUAUGAUAAUUUCAUUCAGCAGAAAAAUGAAAUUAUCAUAUUAAAAUUUGAAUUCGUCGGAGAAAAAAAAAGCUUAAAACUUUUUGAGAUUCUGAAAGUCAACUACGUCUUAUGCAAAACACAAAGUGAAAAGAAGAAAAAAAAGAGUAAGCUUUCUAAUAACUAAAGCAAAACAGAGUAAGCUAAAGAGUUCGAGUUAAGGUAAGAAGCUGUGCUGACCUGAAAAAAAUAAAAUGAAAUCUUCUGUCCGAGGAAAAAGGUUGUCUGAAAUCGGAUUGAAAGAAGAAGCAGCGGAGACACGAUCUGUAGUUUCAAUCUCCCAGACGUCGUUUUGUCUACAAUCAACCCACCAUCCCCCCCAGAAGCACAUCGAACAACUUAACGGAAAUUUGCAAAAUAAGCCCCGCGUAAUAUUCUUAUUAGCACCAGAGAGCUCUGUAUUUUCUUAAAUAACAAAACUACCCACAAAGUUCAAAAAUUAAUGUCAUUGAUCAGCUUGCUUCCAUGUGCGUACUGUAAAGCACUUUGUCCGUUCUACUCUACGUGCAUGAGCUCACGUGACCCAACUUUUUUUUAUUUCAGGAUUCUUUCUUGUGAAUAUUCGAUUUAGAUUUGAUUGCAUAGAACUAUAGAAGUGAGAAAGGCAAAGAAUUAAAGAUAAUAAAAGCAGAAAGAUUAUUAUAAACCCCCUACCUACUUGGUUAUGGACUAACUCGAGUUUUGUUGGUUUAGAUUUGGAUAUCGAUCGGUUUAUAUGGUUAAGCGGAUACCAACUAAAAGAAGACCCCUUGUUUAUGAGAAUGGUAAAUAUAAAAUCUUUAACUCAUUCUCAUUUGUCAAUGAGUUAUUUGAAUUGGGGAAAUCAGGACCUCUUGUACUAAGGUAACAAUAAGUUGAAUUGAUAUUCAUGAUGCUCAAGGAAAUCUUUUCCAUCUUCAGGUUAAUGUAUAUAACAAACUCAGGUUGUCUUUUAUAAGCAUCUUUCUGUUGAUUCAUACACAUUUUGAGUGUAUUAUUAUUCUUGUGCAGUGUGGCUAGCCACGGAUCCUGAGUAUCUCCCUCAAUCCUUAAUCUUUGUGAUUGAGGCCAAAACACUCAUGGAAAUGGAUAGGCAUACUAGUAUUACUACUAGAGUAGUUGAAGAAUUCAGGAACACUUGCAGAGACAUUUUAUGGUAGAUUUUAAAAUAGAUAGAACACGAAUUAGCAAGAAAGUAACCAAACAAGGGGGAAUGACAAAAUCUGCUAGAUAUUCGUCCAUAUUAUGAAAAAAAAGAGCCGAUGAUAACUGAAUGAAUAUGCUACAACAGGGUUCUUUAGUGGUUGGUUACUCCUUACGUUUUCUUUUCUUCUCCGAUGAGCUCUUCUCGGCUGGCUUUGACUUGGAACGCACAUGACAACUCCAUAGAGCUCUCUCAACAUCUGAAGCCCCACCCCACUCUCCUUCCAACUUUAGUUCCUACAAUCCAUAAUCAUUAUUCAAGGCAAGGUCCAGUUUAAAUUUAAACUAAUGCUUUAAACACCUUUCCUACUAGACGAGAGAGAAGACAGUCAAUGAUUCAGCGCAUAUGUAAGACUCUAACUAAAUAGAAUCACAAUGCACUGAAACAGCAGUAAGAAAAUAAUUAAUGCUAUCACACAUGAGAAAGUUCCUACCACAGUAUAAGUGAAGAUUCUAGAGUAGGCAAGUCUGUGUAGCAGGGACAAAAGUGAAAACACACAAUUAACUUUGUCUGAAAGAGAGAGAGAGAGGCUAACCUUUGAUUUUUUCUGUAGCUUAGUGACAAACAACAAGUAUCGCUUCAAAGAGUAAUCCUUUGAGUUCCCAAGAGCCACCUCCAUUGCCUUUACAUUUCACAAUUAGAAUGUUAGAGAGAGAGAGAAAAAGGGUUCAAUAAAGAUCGUUCCUUUGCUGCUCUCUGAUUAACGUACCUCGUCGGACAUAAACGGAGCAAUGUCGGGGGCGUAAGCAGCCAGAACGGCGGAGGCGGUAGCGGGACCCACGCCUUUAAGCACGGUGAGCUCGUUCACAGCCUUGGAGAUGUCAGGGAGCGAUUUGAAAGCCUUCUCAGAAGCAGACUUCACCACGGAAUCGUCGAGAGACGACACGAAGUCGAGAAGACGCGGCCUUGGAGGAGCAAAAGGGAGAAGAAGUAAAACAAAACUGAAGAAAUCAAAUCUAGGAGUGUUUAGAGAGAGAUUGAGAGAGAGAGUUUGUACCGCCAUUUGCCGCGAGAGAGCUUCCAUUUCAUGAGCUGAGAAAGCUCGGAGGUGGUGAGGUAAGGGUUAGGGUCUCGGUCGUGAAGAAGAGAAGGGAGCUCGACGCGGUAGUAUUGGUCGAGAGAGACGAGGUCUGGUUUGUUGAGAGACUCGAUUUUUGAUUCGUAGGAAGACAGAGCCUUCUUCCAGACUCCGACAUCCGAACACUUGAAGUCUAGUUCCAUCGCUAACAAUACAGACAGGUCGUGUUCACGUUUACGACCUAACUACUCCGCCGCCAAAAAGAAGUAUACUGUCCGAGUGAGUUAAAACGCGCGAGAGGACUCGAACAAGGCCCAUUGAAAUAUAAAGCCCAUAUAUUUGCUAAUCAAGGCCCAUUCUGUAUUACAGCUCAGGGUUCUUACUUCUUACAAUUCCUCUCGAGUUUCUUCCAAAAGAUUAGCACAUCCAGCUUGGCAUGAUAAAUGAGAAGAAUGAUUUUACUCUUUUCACUUCAAAGUUAAUGUGCUCUAGUUAGCUUCAAAUUACUACCCAUGACCAAGUAAUUAUGGUUUGGCGAAACUUAUCAAUCCAGGAAAGCCUGCUCCCUUGGUGUGUUAUCUACCAUCUUUUGUAUUCUCUUUAUAUCAUCUCUCUCGAGUCUGGACCCAUUUGAAUAUUUACAAUCAUAGUAUAUUUUUAAAAUAGGUUUGGGGUAUUUCUAACAGCAUGUGCCUUGAGGUAUUAGAAGAUCAACCAUAUAAAUCUGACAUAAGUUAAAAGAGUUUUAAUCCCAAUAUAUUCAAGACUUCAAGUAACUGAUAAAGAAUCACAUUUAUUUAUACUGCCUUUCUUCAGGACCUCGGGUUGCUGUAUGUAUGAAAUUACAUCACACCAGCUUUUUUUAAUGUUUUACUAACAAUACUAAUGCAAAUAAUUGUUCUUACAGGCUAGUGAAUUGUUAAGGAAACCGUGUCUACAGCCAUACCUCCUUCGGUUCCAAAACCUGUCUCCUAUUUAUCUUCCUGUUUUCCCUAUAGACAGUCCAAAGGAUAAGACAAGAAGUUCACUGCCAAGCAAGUUUGCUAAGGAGAGAGAUUCAAUUUUGGAAAACCUUUAUUCGUUUUGGACGAAUGCUAAGACUGAACCUAGCAGCUCAUCGCAAGCGGCAUCAUUCACAAAUGAAACUUGAAACUAAAAAAGAGUUGAUCCAAGCUGCAACACAUUGAGCUGUAAGUUAGACCAUGAGACUCUAAACUACACUGUAGAAUCUCAGCUACGUAAUGUUGAUGUCGGGGUUGUGAGUGGACAAGAAGCUGAAACUCAGGAGGAAGUUCUGGAACCAAUGGAUGAGAGAAAGCUCUCCAUUUCGAGCUCUGAAGUUGUAGCAGAAAGUGAGUGCUUGUCUGGAAGCGUUGAGGUCAAUGAAGCCAAGACGGUGAAACUAAGAGCCGAGUGAAAUGUCUUCAGUUCUGUAAAAGUUUACAAAACUUGGUCCACCGCAGAGUAAAGAAAGAGCAGAUGCUUUGGAGUGGUUUGUUGGAGAAAUGUGCAGGGCUCGUAAAACAAGAGAAGUAUAAACUGGUUUGCUUACACCAUUUGGGACAUUUCCAUUUGUUUCGCUAAUACACACUUGUCUUCUGACAAACUCAACCAAGGAACCUGAUCAAGUUUUGAGUAUGAGAAAAAAAAAACAUUUUCUUUACUUGUCAAAUAUAGAAACUUUCCUUUUUCUCUAAUAAGUGUUUCAAUUUAGCUUGUGAGCAAUCUGUUGUCCUGUGAAAUUUUGAGUAAAUCCCUAAUUGACUAAUACUCUAAGCAGGGAUGUAAGAAACAGCCGUCAUAAAUGUCUAACACACACACUAAGAAAACAAAAUAGAGUACAUCAAAACAAAUGAAGUAGAUCAUCAUCUUCCGUGAAGCUAUACACCGCUGAGAGUGUGAGCCUGUCAAAAAAACGUGUUAUGGACUCAGUAACAGAGAGAAAAGAUUUCAAGAAGAUAGCGUCUAAAGCUGUGUGUUUUUCUUACCUAAAGACAACCAUGAUGAAGAGAAAGAUGUAGAACCCGAGCUUGGUAAACCGGAGCUUCUUCUCAAAGCUAAUACCACGGAACACUUCAGUGACAUCGAUGAGAUGUCUUCGCUCUUUGUAUCUUUAGUAAAGAGAAGGUUAGUUUCCAUAAAUGUCAAUCAAGAAACAAUAAUACUAAUAUGGAUAGAGAGAGACUCACAGCAUAGCGUGAUAGCAUGUUACAGGGAGAGCCACGAGGAAAAACACCCAAUGCCAUGUGAUGAGGAAGAGAAGGCAGAGUGAGCCUUGGAGGAUAAACUCAGGUAGUAUCAAUCGGUUGAUACGGGAUGAUGUUUCAAAAGGGUUCAAGUAAUCCGCUUCUAAAUCCGUUAAACAUAUAACCUACACACAAAAAAAACUUCACACCAUAUCAAUAGAAGAAGGGAACUGAGGCUAAUAAUCAUUAGCAAGAGGUACAAGUAGUAUCUUUAUAUCUCAUUGAUUCCAUCACUUCUUCUCCCUAUUAUCUCGCAAAGACAUCAACUUUACACUAAGGAAGAAUCAUCUUACAGACCCAGUAGCUGCCAAAACUAGUCUUGAAGACAAAACUAAAAUCACAAUAAGUGAACAAUUCCGACAUUCAAGAUUUGAACAGUGAAAAUCCUUAGGACAGAUCUCGAUUCAAGAAUCUCAGUUGUUGACUAAAAUUAAGGGGGGUUGACCUGAUAGAAGACGGAAGCGACGAGGGCUAAGCUGACGAAGAAGGAGAGAAUCCAUAAGAACAAGUCCCAAGCCAUUGUUUUUCUUCAAAGAAUCGGAGACCCAACUCUACUUCUCAAUAUACUUACUUUUCUUCGUUUAGGAAGUUGCUGCUAAUACUUUUACUUUAAAAAAUUGUACUUUACUUAUGUCUGAGUGAGUUCUGUUCGAAACUAGAUUCCUUCCUUUUCUUGUCGGAAUUUUUCCUUCAUUUUUUUGGCGUUAAUUGCGUUUUUACUCUUUCGAAAAUAAUAUGAAUUAGUUUGGUAAGGUUAAAGUUUCUUUUUAUGUUCUGUGAAAUAUAUAAUCCCCAAAUUAUUUUAGAUCUCUCAGAGGCAAAACAGUGAAACACUGUCUUGAUUGAUAAAAAAAAGUGAUACUUUCAGAUUAGAAUUACGAUAGAGAUUCACAUUGUAGCAGAAAUGUAACCUUAGGAGAACAAACAUGUGAUCUAAAGAUUCUGAGAACUUUCUUGUCCAUCACAAAGACAAAACCUAUAAGAUCACACACUACGUCUUCUUACUUUGUUUGCAAACCCCUUCCCCAUCCCUCCAAAAGCUUUACUUUCUUCUAGGCUUCUUCUUCUUCGAUGAUGAUGAUGAUCUCUGGCUUUCAAGUUUUCUCUUGGCAGCUUCAAAUUCUUCUUCGUUUGGCUCUGAGUCAGCAUUUCCACCAUACCUGGAGACAAGUGACGAGAACAUUGUGUCGAACUUCUCUUUCCUCGCAUCUCUUCGCUGUGAAAUCAAAGCGUAAAGAUCCGUCUCUGCGCUCCUUUUUGCUCUACAAGUAUUGAACAUUUGAAACAUGUCACAAGAAAAGUUUUUACUUUUAAGAGGGAAACUAUUGGAAGAAAGGUAAGACAGAGAUAGAGAAGUUUACUUUCUUCUAGUCUUUCGAGGACUCGUUGGGGGUUUUAUUUCUGAAAUUUCCUUUGCCCACUUCUUGUAAGCUUUUGUUGCCUUCACUUCUCCUGCACAAAUGAAACAAUGGUUUCAUAGCUCCACAAACAAAUAAAACGACCUGGCACACAGAGUUACUGCAAAAGAGACAAGCUUACCAGCUGCGAUAGCCUCGUCGAUCAUAUCUUUGAAACGGUGCGAGUCAAGCUUGGGGUUUGAGCAAAGCAUUGAGCAGAAAAGCCUGUAAGAAAUGUAGUACCAAUAGUAUGUUCAAAUAAACUCCAAGUUCACAAAACUGAAAAUAACGAAUGAAUGAAUGAACGAAAAUAAACUAAUAAAUUUUACCUGCUCAUUUUACCCUUAAACUUGGUGUAGAGCUCAAUCAAAUCUUUCUUCUCAGACUCAGAACCCCUGUAGUUGGCCUCAAACUCUUCAAUAUCUUCCUCGUUGACCUUCUUGUACAUGGCCUUGAAGAAGUCCCUCAAGUUGUCAACCACAUCCCCCGAAAGAUCCUAAUGUGAUAAGAAACAACAAGUUUGUAAAAAAAAAAAAAAAUAUCUUGCAGUUCUCUUACAAAACUGAGAGCUUUCUCCUUUCCACCAAUUCAUAUGAACAGACAAUGUAAACAGUAAAAGAUACUUAUAUACAUGUGUGCAGUGUGUAUUAAUGUGAAUUUCAGUGGGAAACAAUCUACAAGUCACCAACAUUCUGAAACUCAAAUCAGGAAGAAGCUGACUUACAGCAUCAUCAACGGAGCCAGUUUGAUCAUAGACAGCCCUCUUCUCUUCAUCGCCGAGAAUCGAAAUCACCUUCUGCAGCUGCUGAAACUUCUCUUUAGCUUCCUGUUUUAAACCACAAAGAAAACCAAAAAAAAUUCAAACUUGCUUGUUAGAGAUACACACAAAACUAAGCCAACCCACUUAUCCCGAGAGAAAAAGUGUAUAACCUCAUCGUCCUUGUUUUUAUCAGGAUGAAGCCUCAAAGCCAGCUUAUGGUAUGCUUUCUUUAUCUCCUGUUGUGUUGCUGUCUCUCCGACACCAAGAACCUUUAACAGAAACCGACUUAGAUUUGAAUUUAAUCAUACAAUUAAUCACCAACAAAACAAGUGGAUGAUAGACAGAUUCCUCAAAAUAUAAACAUUGGAUCAUAAACAAUUAAAAUUUCAACAAUUAACUAUGAAAUUCAGACACCGAACAUCACUAAGAGAAGCAAUCCAAACGAUGAGGAUAAGAACAAUACAACUCAAAAAACAAUUCGAACAGAUCCCCCAAAUCUAAACAGCCUAUAAACCCUAAUUGCGAUUCGCAGAGGAUUGAUAAAAGAGAUACAUACCUCGUAUAGGGUUUUCUCGCUACAUCUCCCAUCGUUCUCCAUCUUCAUACGUUAUCGUUAUACUCUUUCGACGAAGACAGCAGCACGCAUCAGAGAGUGUGAAGCGAUCGAGUUUAUGAAGAAGGGAGGUCGUUUUAUGGCGCCAAUAAUUUUCUGACCUUGCCGCCUAUUGAUCGUCUCUUGACCUAAUCUGGUGAAGUGAAAAUAAAGAGGGUACCAAAGCGUAAUUAAUAGAAUUUAAGGGGGUUACUUCGUUAUUUUGGGUAAACCGAAAUGAUCCUGCUUGAUUUUUUGUUUAAUUCGUUUGGAUUCAACACUUGUACCAAACCGGUUUGGAAUUAAAAUGGUUAAGCGAUCUAACGGUGUGACCCAGGGCUACAAGUAAAACAAACGGCUACGAUGAUUUCGUGGAGUACGUGAUCCACGCCACAGAGGAAUAUUACCCAAAGUAACUGGGUCCCGCAUCGGCCGUUAAUCCGCCCUUUUUCGCUUUUCUCCUUCCCCUUGUAUCAAAUGCCUAACCACCAUUUCUGUCCUCGCUCUUUGAUCUGAGUUUCUUUGUCCGUUCAUGGUAGAUUCGGCUGCUUACGUGCGCAAUACGAAUCCGAGACUCUUCGCGUCGAUCUGUUUGAGGAGAGGAGGAGCCUUUUGGGAUUCGUGAUCUGGAAUAUUAUCUACGUAUAUCAAAUGUCUAAUUUGCAAGGAGAUUACAACCAAAAGAUCGAUUAUGUAUUCAAAGUGGUGUUGAUCGGUGAUUCGGCGGUUGGGAAAACUCAGCUGCUGGCUCGGUUCGCUAGGAACGAGUUCAGCGUCGACUCUAAAGCCACCAUCGGUGUCGAGUUCCAGACUAAAACGCUCGUCAUCGAUAACAAAACCGUCAAAGCUCAGAUUUGGGAUACCGCUGGCCAGGAAAGGUUUGCUCUUCCACUUAUUUAAAUUGCUUAUGAUCUCUCGAACCAGGCAUUAUUUAAGACAGUGACCAUGUGCAUGUAUAGAAUGUGGUAAAGAUAUUCUGUAUCUGUAAAUUACAACUACCCUUUGAUGAUUGUCGGAACCAUUCACAACUCAUCCAUGUGAUCGAUUGAUGCUGGCAGAGAUGUAUUCGAAUAUUAGGCAAACAUACGAUCCUAUUUAAGUAUAUACGAAUAACAGGUUGGAAUCUUCUGGAAAUGUAUUCCAAAGUUCUAGUUUAGUACCACUAUUAUAUGUUUACACACGAAAGUGGCAACAAUAUUCAAAGAUGCAUGUGGAUUAUCGUAAAUAUACCAUCACCUUUACUGAACAAGUUUGCUGCUCCACAGUGCUUUUGUUACUCUGUGCCACUUAUGUGAGCCAGUUUCUACUUCUUUGUCUCAUAACUAUUCAUGUGUAUUCAUUAAAUAAACUUAUAUUUCAAGCAUGAGUUCUAUAGUUUGAUCUAUGUCAUUCUAACGGUAACUAGACUAUCUAAUUGUUUGACUGUUCCUUUAAUUUUUCAGAUACCGGGCGGUGACAAGUGCAUACUACCGUGGAGCUGUUGGGGCAAUGUUGGUCUAUGACAUGACCAAACGUCAAUCAUUUGAUCACAUGGCUAAAUGGCUGGAAGAAUUAAGAGGACAUGCUGACAAAAAUAUAGUGAUUAUGCUAAUUGGAAACAAAUGUGAUCUUGGAAGCCUUAGAGCAGUACCAACAGAAGACGCGCAGGAGUUUGCACAAAGAGAGAACUUGUUCUUCAUGGAAACCUCUGCUCUCGAGGCUACCAAUGUCGAAACCGCGUUUCUGACUAUUUUAACAGAGAUUUAUCGUAUAAUCAGCAAGAAAACACUAACUGCUGAUGAUGAUGACGCUGAUGGGAAUUCAAGUCUCUUAAAGGGGACUAGGAUCAUCAUUCCCAGCGAGCAGGAGACUGGGAAAAGAGGUGGAUGUUGCGGCAAAUCGUAACUCUAAAAGAAAAAGACAAUACAUGAUCGUGUUUUUUUUGGUUCUUGUUGUUUUUGUUUUGUUCAUUCUUAACCAUACUUUCUUGACACGAAACAAUAAGCAGAGAUUUACUACAGAAAAAGUAUGAGUGUGAAACCGAGAGCCCCCCAUUUUCUGCAUACCACGCAACAUUUUCAGAUAGUGAUUGUUUAUUUUUUGGAGAAACUGAGAGUAGUAGGUGAAUGAAUAUAUUUUGUUUCACGUACGUCCAUAAUAUUUUUCUAUGGCCGUAAGUACACUACCAAAGUCUAAUUAUCUACAAUAACAACAAGAACAUAUCUUCCUCUAGUUCUCAUUGUCUGUGUGGUUAUUAUGUUCACAAUUACAAUUAACAGCCUGACGUAUUUAUGUGUUAUUAGUUUAUAUAUUUUGAUUGAUUUAGAAAUUUAUAUAGUAUUUACAAAUCCAAGUAAAACAUACAGAUUUUAAAGUUUUAUCGGAUUAGUAUUUACAAAUCUGGAAGUUUUUCAUCGGAUUUGAGUUGUAUUUUUAAUAAAGAAAACUAUACAAAUCCAUUAUAAAAUCAAAUCUAUUAAUAAAUCUAUAUGAUUGAAUAACACUUGAUUUAAAUUAGAAUAUAUAAAUCAUAAAACCAAUAACACUUGAUUUCAAUAUGGACUUUAAAAUCAUAGAACCAAUAUAGAUUUAGUUUAGAUUUUUAAAUCCAUUAAAAUACACAAACCAAUAACCCCACGAAUCUGUUGCAGAGGUUAGCUAUAAGCAUAAUUAAUUUAAAAUAUUAUAAUCAACUUUAUAUCGAAUCAUAUGAUGUUUUAAAUUACUUAAUGGAAAUAUGGAAAAGAGUAUUGUUUCUAAAAUCUAUUGUGCCUGAUAUGAAUAUGCAGCUUGAUUAGUGUAUAUUCUACGAGAAGCGAAUUAUAGAACAGAACAAAUUAAUGAAAGGGUGAAUUUGUAAGAUGACCAUAAUAGAAAAAGAAUUAAGAAUAUAGCCAUCUUUUGGUAAUUGUGUCAAUUGAUUACAUAAGUGGACAUUUUUCUCUUUUACAGCGCGUGAGCAUGAACACAACACAGCGGAUAAGAAAGACUAUUCUAUUUAUGAUGUGUAUAUGGAAUAGAUAAACAAUGUUCACACAAAGGGUAGUGUAGUGGAGGGAGGGAGGGAGGGAAGGAGGGAAGGAGAGAGAGAGAGAGGGGAGAGGGAGAGAGAGAGAGAGAGAGAGAGAGAGAGAGAGAGAGAGAGAGAGAGAGAGAGAGAGAGAGAGAUAGAUGAAUCUAUACUAUAUGUUUAUGAUAGUAUAGAAUUAAAACCGUGUUAAUGAAAUAUCUGAUAAAAUUUAUAAAAUAUAAAUUUGUUUUGAAAGUUUCAAAACAUUUUAUGUGAAGAAAAAAAUCUAUGUUUUUAAAAUGUAAAAUACAAAGUUUAAUAAGUAUUGUAGCAGAAGUUGAAAUCAAUUAAAAAUAGAAGGGAGAACAUAUUUGUAAGAAGAAAAAAAAAAUGUUCAAGUAAAUGUGGUAAAGAGUAAUAUGGCAAUUAUUACACAAAUAUCAUAGCUUAAGAGUUGUUAUGUGUAGAAAAUUAAUUUUGUUGUUUGUUAUGUAUAUGUGUGCCAAUUUCCCUUAAUGAAAUCACAUAAGAAACCAUCAAUUCCUAAAACAUUAUCAAAGAUAAUAAAAGAAGCAAAAUCAGACCAUUUAUCAAACAACUUUUGUUACCUAUACUGAGAAUCCAAAAAAAAGAAAAAAAGACAACUAGUAAACAGAGGCCCAGCAGAUUCCAACCAUUCUUCAAAAUAAUAAUAUUUAUUUUUUUCACAAAAAUGUCACUGUCAAAUAGUAUUUUUAAUGGAUAAUCUCCAAAGAAAGACAAAACACACACAAUGGGGACCCAUUCAAUGACAGCGUGGCACCACAUCAUAUGAUUAGUCCCAAAAGCCCACCGUUUCUCUCUCUCUCCUGCGGUUUUCCUAUUCCCAUCGUCUUCUUCACACUUUUCUAAUGACCUCUUGACCUAUCGAUCCCUCACAACAUUAACGUUUGCUUUCGAUUCCGUAACCUUUAAUCCCAAGUCAAAUCCCCAACGCUAUCAUCGAUUCAACAAAGUAACAUAAGAUAUAUCUGCUUCCCUCUCUCUCAUCAGAUCUGAAAAUCCACAUUCAACAAUGGUAUCCGCCAGAUUGGGAACGCUCCACUACGUAAUCGACCACGUCUACGGAGCCUUCAUGCACCGCACGAGGAUAACCCCUCCCUUCUUCUCCCGAGGCUGGGGCGGUCCCAAGCUCGAGCUCCUCGAGCGGAUGGCUAAGCAGCUCUUCCCUAUGUACGUCGAAGGCCACAACUGGCCGCCGCCGUUGGUGCGUCCCGUGUGGAGGACCGUCUGGGAGACGAAGACCGCUCGUCUCAGAGAAGGCGUUUUCCAGACUCCGUGUGACGACGAGCUUACCGCUGCUCUGCCUCCCGAGUCUCGCACGGCCAGAGUUGCUUGGCUUGUUCCUAAAAACGUUCCUCCUCAGAAGAUGUCUUGUGUCGUUCAUCUUGCAGGUAACGAACGCCAUGGAAACAGAAACGAAUUGAUAUGUGGUGUAAUGGGUUUGUUUAGUUGUUUAUGUGAUCUUGAUUUGUGCACACAAUGUUGUGGCUUCUUGGUUGUUUGUGAUUGAUAUAUAUAUAUAUAUAUAUUUAUAUAUAUAUAUGCAAUGUUCAAGAAAUAGCUAGGCAUUUUAUACUGGAUUAUUGAUUAGACGGAUGCUUUGAGUGUCUGGACCAAUUUUUAAAAAAAAAGUUUUAGAAAAAUCAUUUUGUUUAGGUCUGAUUUGUCCACUAGUCAUUGUCUAAAUCGAUUUUUAGAACACUGGCUAUAUGUCAGUUGCUCUUAAAUUUGUAAAUAGGAUUAUUGAUUAGACGGAUGUCUACACAGACAUUUGAGUGCCUAGAUCGAUUUUUAAAAAAUUCGUUCUAGAAAAAUCAUUUUGUUUAGGUCUGAUUUGCCGACUAGGUGGGCGUCUAAAUAUUUUUAGAACAGUGGAUAUACGUCAGUUGCUCAUAAAUUUGUAAAGAUGAUAUAUUUUUUUUAUUAUGGUUUGGAUUGUUGUAGGCACAGGGGAUCAUACAUAUGACAGGAGAUUGCGUUUGGGUGGACCUUUGGUGAAGCAAAACAUUGCAACAAUGGUGCUGGAAAGGUAAUGAAAGAGACUCUCUUUUCUACUCAGUGAUGAAAGCGUUUUGGCUUUGUCCGCUUUUGAAGCUUUUGCCAUGUUUUUGAUCAAACAUAGAUAAUGAAUGCCACUGCAGCCCUUUAUAUGGCCGAAGGCGUCCGUUUCUGCAGCGUGGAGCGAGGCUUCUCUGUGUUAGCGAUCUUCUUUUACUUGGGAGGGCAACGAUUGAUGAGUCCCGCAGCCUUCUUCACUGGCUAGACACCGAGGAAGGCUUUGGAAAGAUGGGUGUUUGUGGGCUUAGUAUGGGUAAGUUUAAGAACAACUUGUGAGCUAUGAUGUUUUCCUAGCUCUCACUGUAUUUUGAAAAGUCUUGUGAAUGUAUGAAGGAGGAGUACAUGCUUCGAUGGUUGGAUCGCUUCAUCCAACACCAGUUGCAACACUUCCUUUCUUGUCUCCGCACUCUGCAGUUGUUGCAUUCUGCGAAGGAAUACUAAAGUAUGGAACGGCUUGGGAGGCAUUGAGAGAAGAACUUGCAGCGCAGCAGAUAACAAUGACUCUUGAUGAAGUCAGAGAGAAGAUGAGAACUGUGCUCUCCCUCACAGAUGUCACUCGCUUCCCUGUCCCUAAAAACCCUGAUGCUGUUAUCUUUGUUGCUGCAACUGUAAGUAGAAAAAUCAAUCUAUAACUCAAGAGUUUCAACAGUUUUUAGUUGGAGAAACAUUGCUGCUGCUGAAUCUGAUCUUAUAUGGUUUGUAUAGGAUGAUGGAUACAUACCGAAGCACUCUGUGUUGGAGCUUCAAAAGGCGUGGCCUGGUUCAGAAGUGAGAUGGGUCACAGGUGGACACGUCUCCUCCUUUAUCCUCCACAACGAUGCGUUUCGCAGGGCAAUAGUGGACGGUCUCGAUAGAGUAGAGUGGAAGGAGUCAUGGUGACCCAACAUAACACAACUCCGUUAUAACUCAAAGAGAAGGAGUCUUCACGUAUAUGUCUUAAAUCUCCUCCUCUUGUUGUUGUUGUUGUUGUUGUAUCAUUUGUUCUUUUUAACAUUCUUUUCGCUUUCAAAAGUGGUGAGGAUAUCUAAUAUCCACUUGAUUUGGCCGUUGUAUUGUUUCUGUCUCGACACACACAGCAACAGUUUCAGGGAACUUCACUUAUUACAUUCCAUUGUUAACUCAUAUACAAUAGAUCUCUCCUGUGUUUUAAAUGGCGCAUGGCGCUCUAAGGCGAGGAGGUUGGAGCCAUGCGCCUUGCGCCAUGGCGUUCCAAGGCGCUCGCCUUAUGGUUAGAAUGCAUUCUAACGUGGUUUAGUUAUAUACAGCUUUAGAAGAACUUAGAUAUGCAUUGAUAGAUGUUCUUAGGUUAGAAAUGUAUGUGUUAGCUACAGACGUGUAACUAUUUCUAUGGUUACGUACAGAAGAUAAGUUAUAGAGUAGACUCGUAUAUAACACUAGUACAGUCAGCUAUACCAAACUGUCUUAUUUAUACACAGUAAUAUAGUCAGCAACGAGUUAGUCAUGCACACUAAUAUAGUCAGCUAUGUACACAUAUAUAUAAACCCCAAAACACCAAAACAAAGAACUUGAAACUAAAAAGCUAAAUUUAAUUGCUCAAAUCCAACAAAACCUAUAACUCUGAAGAUCUAAGCAUUAUGUUUUAAGGAUAUUUAAAUGGUCGACAAAGUAGUGAUGGAGUUCCAAGAUGUUUUAAGGGUUCCGUCAAAGUAGUGUUUAACGGAAACUACAAGGCGCGCCUUAAGAGGUUCAAAGGCGCUUAUAUUUAAGCCAAUGGCGCACCAUGGCGAGCGCCUUGAGGAACUAGGGCUCGCCUUAGAGGACUGAGGCGUUAGGACCAUCGCCCCGGUGCGCCUUGCGCCUUGGCGCAAAAGGCGAUCGCCUUUUAAAACACAGGACGUAGAUGACCAGAAAGUUCAAAAAUGAAUAAACCGUCAUAAGAAGACAAAGGGCAGGCAAUGCUAGACAAGAUUGAACAAAUAGCUAUGGAUAUAUAUAUGCAUUUUUAUUGAAUAUACUAGGUAAAGAACCCGUGCGAUGUCGCACGGGAACUCAUUUAUAAAAAGAAAUUAUCACAUAUUGCAAUAUAAAACUUUAUAAAUGUAUCAAAAAUAUUCACCCUAUUUUUGGUCCUAAAAAUAUAUUUUAUAUCAAAUAUUUCAUACUUUAUAUAUAUUAAUUUUUAUUUGUAACGUUUCCACAAAGUGUGAACAAAAAAAUAUGAUUGUUCAAACAAAAAACUUCAUCAUCUUUCAAUUUUUUUGUUCUUAUAAUAUGUAAACAAAUCAAUUUAAUAUUUUUAAAAUAUGUCUUUGUCAAUGAGUUUAAAACAUAUUUCAAUAUACUUAAUCACAAAUCAAAGAUAAACCUAUAUAAAAAGAAUAAUAUUUAUCUGAAAUAUUAUUUAAACUUAAAAUAUUAACUUUUUGAAAGGAUGCACUUUUACAAAAUCUUUAGUAUUUUUAAAGGAAGCAUCUCUCCAACAGAAAAAAUCCUUGAAUAAAAAAUGCAUAUUUUACAUGUAAAAUACAAUAGAAUUUGAUUAAAUAGAGAUAAAAUUGAGAAUUGUAGAAAAAUGCUCAUAUAUUAUUCAUUUGUUACAUGAAAAAUACACUGCAAUUAAAAUAAUAUAACCAAAUGGCGGCACAUACAUUGAAAUUUAUGCAUGUUUAAAGUUAUUAUCGUGAAAUCAUUUUAUUUUAAAAGAUAUUUGCCACUUUGUAUAAUUUAUUUAAAAUAAUUUUUUUUUUGUUUUCAAAGAAGUUAUUGUGUCACAAAAGAGAAAAAAAAACACAUCCAUAAGCUUUCUAUAGAUUUUAAAAAAUAUAUAAUGAGAGUGAUUGGUAGGGUAUGUAGGAGCUCUGAACAUCCUUUUUAAUUUUUACGGUUGUCUUUUGAAGGAAUUAUAUUUUUAUUUUAAAAAUUGAAUCUAAAGCCAAAACAUAAUACAAUAAAUAUGUUAGCUUUAGAAACCACUUUUUCUAGAGUUUUUAUUCAGUGUUUUGAAAAAAUUACUACAACAAAAAAGAAUAACGUUCCUGUUGCUUUUAUCUGUACGAUGAUGGUUGCUCAAAAAAAACUUGUACGAUGAUGAUGUGUUAAUUGUCACUGCUUAUCAAAUGAAUUGUUCAUUUGAGGAAUUAAUGUUGUUGUACCAUUUGUUCUUCUUUUUUAAGAAUAACGUUCCUGUUGCUUUUAUCUGUACGAUGAUGGUUGCUCAAAAAAAACUUGUACGAUGAUGAUGUGUUAAUUGUCACUGCUUAUCAAAUGAAUUGUUCAUUUGAGGAAUUAAUGUUGUUGUACCAUUUGUUCUUCUUUUUUAAGAAUAACGUUCCUGUUGCUUUUAUCUGUACGAUGAUGGUUGCUCAAAAAAAACUUGUACGAUGAUGAUGUGUUAAUUGUCACUGCUUAUCAAAUGAAUUGUUCAUUUGAGGAAUUAAUGUUGUUGUACCAUUUGUUCUUCUUUUUUAAGAAUAACGUUCCUGUUGCUUUUAUCUGUACGAUGAUGGUUGCUCAAAAAAAACUUGUACGAUGAUGAUGUGUUAAUUGUCACUGCUUAUCAAAUGAAUUGUUCAUUUGAGGAAUUAAUGUUGUUGUACCAUUUGUUCUUCUUUUUUAAGAAUAACGUUCCUGUUGCUUUUAUCUGUACGAUGAUGGUUGCUCAAAAAAAACUUGUACGAUGAUGAUGUGUUAAUUGUCACUGCUUAUCAAAUGAAUUGUUCAUUUGAGGAAUUAAUGUUGUUGUACCAUUUGUUCUUCUUUUUUAAGAAUAACGUUCCUGUUGCUUUUAUCUGUACGAUGAUGGUUGCUCAAAAAAAACUUGUACGAUGAUGAUGUGUUAAUUGUCACUGCUUAUCAAAUGAAUUGUUCAUUUGAGGAAUUAAUGUUGUUGUACCAUUUGUUCUUCUUUUUUAAGAAUAACGUUCCUGUUGCUUUUAUCUGUACGAUGAUGGUUGCUCAAAAAAAACUUGUACGAUGAUGAUGUGUUAAUUGUCACUGCUUAUCAAAUGAAUUGUUCAUUUGAGGAAUUAAUGUUGUUGUACCAUUUGUUCUUCUUUUUUAAGAAUAACGUUCCUGUUGCUUUUAUCUGUACGAUGAUGGUUGCUCAAAAAAAACUUGUACGAUGAUGAUGUGUUAAUUGUCACUGCUUAUCAAAUGAAUUGUUCAUUUGAGGAAUUAAUGUUGUUGUACCAUUUGUUCUUCUUUUUUAAGAAUAACGUUCCUGUUGCUUUUAUCUGUACGAUGAUGGUUGCUCAAAAAAAACUUGUACGAUGAUGAUGUGUUAAUUGUCACUGCUUAUCAAAUGAAUUGUUCAUUUGAGGAAUUAAUGUUGUUGUACCAUUUGUUCUUCUUUUUUAAGAAUAACGUUCCUGUUGCUUUUAUCUGUACGAUGAUGGUUGCUCAAAAAAAACUUGUACGAUGAUGAUGUGUUAAUUGUCACUGCUUAUCAAAUGAAUUGUUCAUUUGAGGAAUUAAUGUUGUUGUACCAUUUGUUCUUCUUUUUUAAGAAUAACGUUCCUGUUGCUUUUAUCUGUACGAUGAUGGUUGCUCAAAAAAAACUUGUACGAUGAUGAUGUGUUAAUUGUCACUGCUUAUCAAAUGAAUUGUUCAUUUGAGGAAUUAAUGUUGUUGUACCAUUUGUUCUUCUUUUUUAAGAAUAACGUUCCUGUUGCUUUUAUCUGUACGAUGAUGGUUGCUCAAAAAAAACUUGUACGAUGAUGAUGUGUUAAUUGUCACUGCUUAUCAAAUGAAUUGUUCAUUUGAGGAAUUAAUGUUGUUGUACCAUUUGUUCUUCUUUUUUAAGAAUAACGUUCCUGUUGCUUUUAUCUGUACGAUGAUGGUUGCUCAAAAAAAACUUGUACGAUGAUGAUGUGUUAAUUGUCACUGCUUAUCAAAUGAAUUGUUCAUUUGAGGAAUUAAUGUUGUUGUACCAUUUGUUCUUCUUUUUUAAGAAUAACGUUCCUGUUGCUUUUAUCUGUACGAUGAUGGUUGCUCAAAAAAAACUUGUACGAUGAUGAUGUGUUAAUUGUCACUGCUUAUCAAAUGAAUUGUUCAUUUGAGGAAUUAAUGUUGUUGUACCAUUUGUUCUUCUUUUUUAAGAAUAACGUUCCUGUUGCUUUUAUCUGUACGAUGAUGGUUGCUCAAAAAAAACUUGUACGAUGAUGAUGUGUUAAUUGUCACUGCUUAUCAAAUGAAUUGUUCAUUUGAGGAAUUAAUGUUGUUGUACCAUUUGUUCUUCUUUUUUAAGAAUAACGUUCCUGUUGCUUUUAUCUGUACGAUGAUGGUUGCUCAAAAAAAACUUGUACGAUGAUGAUGUGUUAAUUGUCACUGCUUAUCAAAUGAAUUGUUCAUUUGAGGAAUUAAUGUUGUUGUACCAUUUGUUCUUCUUUUUUAAGAAUAACGUUCCUGUUGCUUUUAUCUGUACGAUGAUGGUUGCUCAAAAAAAACUUGUACGAUGAUGAUGUGUUAAUUGUCACUGCUUAUCAAAUGAAUUGUUCAUUUGAGGAAUUAAUGUUGUUGUACCAUUUGUUCUUCUUUUUUAAGAAUAACGUUCCUGUUGCUUUUAUCUGUACGAUGAUGGUUGCUCAAAAAAAACUUGUACGAUGAUGAUGUGUUAAUUGUCACUGCUUAUCAAAUGAAUUGUUCAUUUGAGGAAUUAAUGUUGUUGUACCAUUUGUUCUUCUUUUUUAAGAAUAACGUUCCUGUUGCUUUUAUCUGUACGAUGAUGGUUGCUCAAAAAAAACUUGUACGAUGAUGAUGUGUUAAUUGUCACUGCUUAUCAAAUGAAUUGUUCAUUUGAGGAAUUAAUGUUGUUGUACCAUUUGUUCUUCUUUUUUAAGAAUAACGUUCCUGUUGCUUUUAUCUGUACGAUGAUGGUUGCUCAAAAAAAACUUGUACGAUGAUGAUGUGUUAAUUGUCACUGCUUAUCAAAUGAAUUGUUCAUUUGAGGAAUUAAUGUUGUUGUACCAUUUGUUCUUCUUUUUUAAGAAUAACGUUCCUGUUGCUUUUAUCUGUACGAUGAUGGUUGCUCAAAAAAAACUUGUACGAUGAUGAUGUGUUAAUUGUCACUGCUUAUCAAAUGAAUUGUUCAUUUGAGGAAUUAAUGUUGUUGUACCAUUUGUUCUUCUUUUUUAAGAAUAACGUUCCUGUUGCUUUUAUCUGUACGAUGAUGGUUGCUCAAAAAAAACUUGUACGAUGAUGAUGUGUUAAUUGUCACUGCUUAUCAAAUGAAUUGUUCAUUUGAGGAAUUAAUGUUGUUGUACCAUUUGUUCUUCUUUUUUAAGAAUAACGUUCCUGUUGCUUUUAUCUGUACGAUGAUGGUUGCUCAAAAAAAACUUGUACGAUGAUGAUGUGUUAAUUGUCACUGCUUAUCAAAUGAAUUGUUCAUUUGAGGAAUUAAUGUUGUUGUACCAUUUGUUCUUCUUUUUUAAGAAUAACGUUCCUGUUGCUUUUAUCUGUACGAUGAUGGUUGCUCAAAAAAAACUUGUACGAUGAUGAUGUGUUAAUUGUCACUGCUUAUCAAAUGAAUUGUUCAUUUGAGGAAUUAAUGUUGUUGUACCAUUUGUUCUUCUUUUUUAAGAAUAACGUUCCUGUUGCUUUUAUCUGUACGAUGAUGGUUGCUCAAAAAAAACUUGUACGAUGAUGAUGUGUUAAUUGUCACUGCUUAUCAAAUGAAUUGUUCAUUUGAGGAAUUAAUGUUGUUGUACCAUUUGUUCUUCUUUUUUAAGAAUAACGUUCCUGUUGCUUUUAUCUGUACGAUGAUGGUUGCUCAAAAAAAACUUGUACGAUGAUGAUGUGUUAAUUGUCACUGCUUAUCAAAUGAAUUGUUCAUUUGAGGAAUUAAUGUUGUUGUACCAUUUGUUCUUCUUUUUUAAGAAUAACGUUCCUGUUGCUUUUAUCUGUACGAUGAUGGUUGCUCAAAAAAAACUUGUACGAUGAUGAUGUGUUAAUUGUCACUGCUUAUCAAAUGAAUUGUUCAUUUGAGGAAUUAAUGUUGUUGUACCAUUUGUUCUUCUUUUUUAAGAAUAACGUUCCUGUUGCUUUUAUCUGUACGAUGAUGGUUGCUCAAAAAAAACUUGUACGAUGAUGAUGUGUUAAUUGUCACUGCUUAUCAAAUGAAUUGUUCAUUUGAGGAAUUAAUGUUGUUGUACCAUUUGUUCUUCUUUUUUAAGAAUAACGUUCCUGUUGCUUUUAUCUGUACGAUGAUGGUUGCUCAAAAAAAACUUGUACGAUGAUGAUGUGUUAAUUGUCACUGCUUAUCAAAUGAAUUGUUCAUUUGAGGAAUUAAUGUUGUUGUACCAUUUGUUCUUCUUUUUUAAGAAUAACGUUCCUGUUGCUUUUAUCUGUACGAUGAUGGUUGCUCAAAAAAAACUUGUACGAUGAUGAUGUGUUAAUUGUCACUGCUUAUCAAAUGAAUUGUUCAUUUGAGGAAUUAAUGUUGUUGUACCAUUUGUUCUUCUUUUUUAAGAAUAACGUUCCUGUUGCUUUUAUCUGUACGAUGAUGGUUGCUCAAAAAAAACUUGUACGAUGAUGAUGUGUUAAUUGUCACUGCUUAUCAAAUGAAUUGUUCAUUUGAGGAAUUAAUGUUGUUGUACCAUUUGUUCUUCUUUUUUAAGAAUAACGUUCCUGUUGCUUUUAUCUGUACGAUGAUGGUUGCUCAAAAAAAACUUGUACGAUGAUGAUGUGUUAAUUGUCACUGCUUAUCAAAUGAAUUGUUCAUUUGAGGAAUUAAUGUUGUUGUACCAUUUGUUCUUCUUUUUUAAGAAUAACGUUCCUGUUGCUUUUAUCUGUACGAUGAUGGUUGCUCAAAAAAAACUUGUACGAUGAUGAUGUGUUAAUUGUCACUGCUUAUCAAAUGAAUUGUUCAUUUGAGGAAUUAAUGUUGUUGUACCAUUUGUUCUUCUUUUUUAAGAAUAACGUUCCUGUUGCUUUUAUCUGUACGAUGAUGGUUGCUCAAAAAAAACUUGUACGAUGAUGAUGUGUUAAUUGUCACUGCUUAUCAAAUGAAUUGUUCAUUUGAGGAAUUAAUGUUGUUGUACCAUUUGUUCUUCUUUUUUAAGAAUAACGUUCCUGUUGCUUUUAUCUGUACGAUGAUGGUUGCUCAAAAAAAACUUGUACGAUGAUGAUGUGUUAAUUGUCACUGCUUAUCAAAUGAAUUGUUCAUUUGAGGAAUUAAUGUUGUUGUACCAUUUGUUCUUCUUUUUUAAGAAUAACGUUCCUGUUGCUUUUAUCUGUACGAUGAUGGUUGCUCAAAAAAAACUUGUACGAUGAUGAUGUGUUAAUUGUCACUGCUUAUCAAAUGAAUUGUUCAUUUGAGGAAUUAAUGUUGUUGUACCAUUUGUUCUUCUUUUUUAAGAAUAACGUUCCUGUUGCUUUUAUCUGUACGAUGAUGGUUGCUCAAAAAAAACUUGUACGAUGAUGAUGUGUUAAUUGUCACUGCUUAUCAAAUGAAUUGUUCAUUUGAGGAAUUAAUGUUGUUGUACCAUUUGUUCUUCUUUUUUAAGAAUAACGUUCCUGUUGCUUUUAUCUGUACGAUGAUGGUUGCUCAAAAAAAACUUGUACGAUGAUGAUGUGUUAAUUAUCACUGCUUAUCAAAUGAAUUGUUCAUUUGAGGAAUUAAUGUUGUUGUACCAUUUGUUCUUCUUUUUUAAGAAUAACGUUCCUGUUGCUUUUAUCUGUACGAUGAUGGUUGCUCAAAAAAAACUUGUACGAUGAUGAUGUGUUAAUUGUCACUGCUUAUCAAAUGAAUUGUUCAUUUGAGGAAUUAAUGUUGUUGUACCAUUUGUUCUUCUUUUUUAAGAAUAACGUUCCUGUUGCUUUUGAAAGUGUUGGGUAUAUUAGUGGUUCAUUAGCUGGACUGAAAAUGAUUUUGGCCAUUGUAUCAAAGAUCCUUGAUAAAGAUAAUUUAAUUGUGAGAAGUCUUUUAAAAUUAUUUUUGAUAAAGAUAUUCUAAAAUAUAUGUAGGCUCGUACAAUGUAGAUUCCCGCCAGGUAUGAAACUCACGUUUAUUUCUAUAAUAAUUAGUAGUUGAUUAAAUGGCAGCCUAGGGCUAUAAUCAAGAUCUUAUUCACAUUAGAAUAUUCGUUGAUCACUUUUUAAAUUACUAGAGGAACGACGCACACCCAAGUUGUUCACAUUAUUUAAUAACAUGAUAUAAAAAUUCUUCACAUUCAAAGUAAAAUAUUUAUUGACUUUUGAAAUACGAUGUUUUUAGCUAAUUAACACGAGAUAUGUAAAUACAUUUCACAUCAUGCACAUAAAAAUGAAAAAAAAAAGAUAAUCACAGACACUUUAUACUAAAAUAAUCAUACGAGGGAGGACUUCUAACCUGAUUCCGAACCGACGAUAUAUGUAGUAGACGACUAAGUCUUUGCUCAUUUAUUUAAGUUCAUGUUUUGCAAAAUAAGAGGAGAAGAAUUAGUCUUCCUUGUGUUCAGGAACCAAACAAACAUAGUUAUUGAUUUAUAUUGCCAGCAUAUUGCUUUUAGAACCAUGAAAACUCUGGUAUAUAGUAGCUUCACUGCGUCAAAAUAACCACUCAUAUCACAAUGAAGCUCCUUAUUCGUCUCUUUAUCUUCUUCGCUGCACUCUUCAUCUCUUCUCUCCCAUCAUCUUACAGCUGCAACCCAAAAGACAAAAACACCCUCCUUCAAAUCAAUAUAUAUAUAUAUAUAUAUAUGCAAUGUUCAAGAAAUAGCUAGGCAUUUUAUACUGGAUUAUUGAUUAGACGGAUGCUUUGAGUGUCUGGACCAAUUUUUAAAAAAAAAGUUUUAGAAAAAUCAUUUUGUUUAGGUCUGAUUUGUCCACUAGUCAUUGUCUAAAUCGAUUUUUAGAACACUGGCUAUAUGUCAGUUGCUCUUAAAUUUGUAAAUAGGAUUAUUGAUUAGACGGAUGUCUACACAGACAUUUGAGUGCCUAGAUCGAUUUUUAAAAAAUUCGUUCUAGAAAAAUCAUUUUGUUUAGGUCUGAUUUGCCGACUAGGUGGGCGUCUAAAUAUUUUUAGAACAGUGGAUAUACGUCAGUUGCUCAUAAAUUUGUAAAGAUGAUAUAUUUUUUUUAUUAUGGUUUGGAUUGUUGUAGGCACAGGGGAUCAUACAUAUGACAGGAGAUUGCGUUUGGGUGGACCUUUGGUGAAGCAAAACAUUGCAACAAUGGUGCUGGAAAGGUAAUGAAAGAGACUCUCUUUUCUACUCAGUGAUGAAAGCGUUUUGGCUUUGUCCGCUUUUGAAGCUUUUGCCAUGUUUUUGAUCAAACAUAGAUAAUGAAUGCCACUGCAGCCCUUUAUAUGGCCGAAGGCGUCCGUUUCUGCAGCGUGGAGCGAGGCUUCUCUGUGUUAGCGAUCUUCUUUUACUUGGGAGGGCAACGAUUGAUGAGUCCCGCAGCCUUCUUCACUGGCUAGACACCGAGGAAGGCUUUGGAAAGAUGGGUGUUUGUGGGCUUAGUAUGGGUAAGUUUAAGAACAACUUGUGAGCUAUGAUGUUUUCCUAGCUCUCACUGUAUUUUGAAAAGUCUUGUGAAUGUAUGAAGGAGGAGUACAUGCUUCGAUGGUUGGAUCGCUUCAUCCAACACCAGUUGCAACACUUCCUUUCUUGUCUCCGCACUCUGCAGUUGUUGCAUUCUGCGAAGGAAUACUAAAGUAUGGAACGGCUUGGGAGGCAUUGAGAGAAGAACUUGCAGCGCAGCAGAUAACAAUGACUCUUGAUGAAGUCAGAGAGAAGAUGAGAACUGUGCUCUCCCUCACAGAUGUCACUCGCUUCCCUGUCCCUAAAAACCCUGAUGCUGUUAUCUUUGUUGCUGCAACUGUAAGUAGAAAAAUCAAUCUAUAACUCAAGAGUUUCAACAGUUUUUAGUUGGAGAAACAUUGCUGCUGCUGAAUCUGAUCUUAUAUGGUUUGUAUAGGAUGAUGGAUACAUACCGAAGCACUCUGUGUUGGAGCUUCAAAAGGCGUGGCCUGGUUCAGAAGUGAGAUGGGUCACAGGUGGACACGUCUCCUCCUUUAUCCUCCACAACGAUGCGUUUCGCAGGGCAAUAGUGGACGGUCUCGAUAGAGUAGAGUGGAAGGAGUCAUGGUGACCCAACAUAACACAACUCCGUUAUAACUCAAAGAGAAGGAGUCUUCACGUAUAUGUCUUAAAUCUCCUCCUCUUGUUGUUGUUGUUGUUGUUGUAUCAUUUGUUCUUUUUAACAUUCUUUUCGCUUUCAAAAGUGGUGAGGAUAUCUAAUAUCCACUUGAUUUGGCCGUUGUAUUGUUUCUGUCUCGACACACACAGCAACAGUUUCAGGGAACUUCACUUAUUACAUUCCAUUGUUAACUCAUAUACAAUAGAUCUCUCCUGUGUUUUAAAUGGCGCAUGGCGCUCUAAGGCGAGGAGGUUGGAGCCAUGCGCCUUGCGCCAUGGCGUUCCAAGGCGCUCGCCUUAUGGUUAGAAUGCAUUCUAACGUGGUUUAGUUAUAUACAGCUUUAGAAGAACUUAGAUAUGCAUUGAUAGAUGUUCUUAGGUUAGAAAUGUAUGUGUUAGCUACAGACGUGUAACUAUUUCUAUGGUUACGUACAGAAGAUAAGUUAUAGAGUAGACUCGUAUAUAACACUAGUACAGUCAGCUAUACCAAACUGUCUUAUUUAUACACACUAAUAUAGUCAGCAACGAGUUAGUCAUGCACACUAAUAUAGUCACCUAUGUACACAUAUAUAUAAACCCCAAAACACCAAAACAAAGAACUUGAAACUAAAAAGCUAAAUUUAAUUGCUCAAAUCCAACAAAACCUAUAACUCUGAAGAUCUAAGCAUUAUGUUUUAAGGAUAUUUAAAUGGUCGACAAAGUAGUGAUGGAGUUCCAAGAUGUUUUAAGGGUUCCGUCAAAGUAGUGUUUAACGGAAACUACAAGGCGCGCCUUAAGAGGUUCAAAGGCGCUUAUAUUUAAGCCAAUGGCGCACCAUGGCGAGCGCCUUGAGGAACUAGGGCUCGCCUUAGAGGACUGAGGCGUUAGGACCAUCGCCCCGGUGCGCCUUGCGCCUUGGCGCAAAAGGCGAUCGCCUUUUAAAACACAGGACCUCUCUGUAGUUUGAAAAUGUUUUAGAGAUCUUUAGCCUUGCUUUCACUGUAAUCUGGAAUGUCUUGUGAAUAUAGUAAGGAGAGGUACAUGCAUCGAUGGUUGGAUCGAUUCAUCCGAAUAUCAUAAACAUUGAUUUUACCACGUUUUUCUUUUCUUUGAGAAAAGUGUCAUGACGUGGGGGUAAAGAUACAUUAUACUGUACUCAUUAGUUGUCUAACAUCUAACAAUUAUUAUUAACCUCACGUAUUAUACUGUUCAAACAUUUAGUAUAUACGACUCUUUUAGCUGCAUGUAUAUGAAAUGAUUGCAGCAUGGGAAUGGUGGUGGAGUUUGAAGAAAUCACUGAACCGAACCGGAGGACUUCUAACCGUACCAAGAUUCCGAACCGGAGAUGUAGUAACUAAGUCUCUGCUUUUUUAUUUAACUUCAUGUUUUCACAAAUAAGAGUAGAAGAAAUGGUCUUCCUUGUGUUUAGGAACCAAACAAAAAAAGUUCUAUUCCUUUGGGAACCAUCAAAAUCUCUGUUAUAAUAGUAGCUUCACUGUGUCAAGACAACCACUCAAAUCACAAUGAAGCUCCUUCUUUGUCUCUCUAUGCUCUUCAUCUCUUCUCUCCCACCAUCAUACAGCUGCAACUCAAAAGAGGAAAACACCCUCCUUCAAAUCAAGAAACAUUUUAACAACCCCGAUCUCCUUUCCACAUGGAGCCCUGCAACCGACUGUUGUACUAGCUGGACCGGUAUCGAAUGCACUAACGGCCGCGUCACGUUACUCUCUAUGUCCAAAGACAAGAAGCUCGUCGGUCAUAUCCCGGACCAGAUAGGCGACCUCCUUGAACUCCAAUCACUCGAAAUGAGUUACUUGAAUCUAACCGGAACCAUACCACGCACCAUCACUAAACUCAAGCACCUCGACCUCAUCUUCUUAACUUGGAACAGACUAUCCGGUCCAAUUCCUGAAUACAUCAGCGAGCUCAAAAGCGUUACGUUCUUGGACAUCUCCUUUAACAAGUUUACCGGUCCUAUUCCCGGUUGGCUUACUCAGAUGCCGAACCUUCAGACCUUUCAGGCCGACAACAAUUCGCUAACCGGUCCUAUACCGAACUCUUUCGGUUCCUUUGUAGGCAACGUCCCUAAUCUUUUCUUGCCUUACAAUAAGCUCUCAGGUAUACCAAUUUUUUUUUUUCAAUUAUACUAUUUCAUAAUAUAAGUAGUUUAGGAAUUUUUUUUUAUAUUACAAAAUAUAAUUAAGUAGUUUUGAGAUUUGUAUUCACUUUUUACAUUUAUGUGACCAAUUAUGAAAACAUUUUUAUGAUUAGUUAUGAAAAAGUUAAAUAUAUUUAAAAUAGAUUAAAUAUUAUUUUUUGACAAGUAAUAAUUUUCUCAACCAUUGUACUUUCACUAAAACACAGUACAUUUUGAAACAUAUGAGGCGGAGUAUAACUUUAGAUUUAACUAUUUGAUCUAUAGAUACACCAGUUUGAGAUUUCUUAAAAUAUGAAGUAUUUUUAGAGACCGUAUUAUUAAUUAUUUUCAGCAUCAAAUUGUUAUUAUUAUUAUUGAUUACUAAAUCAAAUUCAUUAACAUUGCUCUGGCAGGAAAAAUACCGGAGUCGUUGUCAAAGAUUGACUUUCAAGCAGUAGUUCUGACGGGAAACAGUUUCACAGGAGAUGGUUCAAUGUUUUUCGGAGGGAACAAAAGAACAGUACAAGUGGAUCUAUCGAGAAACAAGUUUGAGUUCGAUCUCUCCAAAGUUAAGUUCGGUAAGAGCAUGGCUUUGUUGGAUCUGAGCCAUAACCGAAUCUUCGGGAAACUUCCUAGGGAGCUGACCGAGCUACAUCUCCAGCGUUUCAACAUUAGUUAUAAUCGUCUCUGCGGAAAAAUCCCACGUGGUGGUAAACUUCAGACCUUUAAAUCAUAUGAGUUCGCUCAUAACCGCUGUCUUUGUGGGUCACCGCUUAAGAAGGCUUGUUAAAUUGAUUUGUUUAGUGGCGUGACAACAAAUAAUUACGUUUUAUCUGUACGAUGAUGGUUGCUCAAAAAAAAACUUGUACGAUGAUGAUGUGUUAAUUAUCACUGCUUAUCAAAUGAAUUGUUCCUUUGAGGAAUUAAUUAAUGCUGUUGUAUCAUUUGUUCUUCUUUUUUAAGAAUAACGUUCCUGUUGCUUUUAUCUGUACGAUGAUGGUUGCUCAAAAAAAACUUGUACGAUGAUGAUGUGUUAAUUGUCACUGCUUAUCAAAUGAAUUGUUCAUUUGAGGAAUUAAUGUUGUUGUACCAUUUGUUCUUCUUUUUUAAGAAUAACGUUCCUGUUGCUUUUGAAAGUGUUGGGUAUAUUAGUGGUUCAUUAGCUGGACUGAAAAUGAUUUUGGCCAUUGUAUCAAAGAUCCUUGAUAAAGAUAAUUUAAUUGUGAGAAGUCUUUUAAAAUUAUUUUUGAUAAAGAUAUUCUAAAAUAUAUGUAGGCUCGUACAAUGUAGAUUCCCGCCAGGUAUGAAACUCACGUUUAUUUCUAUAAUAAUUAGUAGUUGAUUAAAUGGCAGCCUAGGGCUAUAAUCAAGAUCUUAUUCACAUUAGAAUAUUCGUUGAUCACUUUUUAAAUUACUAGAGGAACGACGCACACCCAAGUUGUUCACAUUAUUUAAUAACAUGAUAUAAAAAUUCUUCACAUUCAAAGUAAAAUAUUUAUUGACUUUUGAAAUACGAUGUUUUUAGCUAAUUAACACGAGAUAUGUAAAUACAUUUCACAUCAUGCACAUAAAAAUGAAAAAAAAAAGAUAAUCACAGACACUUUAUACUAAAAUAAUCAUACGAGGGAGGACUUCUAACCUGAUUCCGAACCGACGAUAUAUGUAGUAGACGACUAAGUCUUUGCUCAUUUAUUUAAGUUCAUGUUUUGCAAAAUAAGAGGAGAAGAAUUAGUCUUCCUUGUGUUCAGGAACCAAACAAACAUAGUUAUUGAUUUAUAUUGCCAGCAUAUUGCUUUUAGAACCAUGAAAACUCUGGUAUAUAGUAGCUUCACUGCGUCAAAAUAACCACUCAUAUCACAAUGAAGCUCCUUAUUCGUCUCUUUAUCUUCUUCGCUGCACUCUUCAUCUCUUCUCUCCCAUCAUCUUACAGCUGCAACCCAAAAGACAAAAACACCCUCCUUCAAAUCAAGAAGCAUUUUAACAACCCGAAACUCCUCUCCUCCUGGGAUCCUCAAACCGACUGUUGUACUAGCUGGACCGGCAUUGAGUGCACUAACGGCCGCGUCACAUUAUUCUCUAUGGCCAGCGACGACAGUGUCGUCGGUCAGAUCCCGGACCAGAUCGGCGACCUCCCUGAACUCCGUACACUCGAAAUGAGUUCCAUAAAUCUAACCGGAAACAUACCACGCACCAUCACCAAACUCAAGCACCUCGUCCUCAUCUUCUUAAGCUGGAACAAACUAUCCGGUCCAAUUCCUGAUUACAUCAGCGAGCUCAAAAGCGUUACGUUCUUGGACAUCUCCUUUAACAAGUUUACCGGUCCUAUUCCCGGUUGGCUUACUCAGAUGCCGAACCUUCAGACCUUUCAGGCCGACAACAAUUCGCUAACCGGUCCUAUACCGAACUCUUUCGGUUCCUUUGUAGGCAACGUCCCUAAUCUUUUCUUGCCUUACAAUAAGCUCUCAGGUAUACCAAUUUUUUUUUUUCAAUUAUACCAUUUCAUAAUAUAAGUAGUUUAGGAUUUUUUUUUUAUUACAAAAUAUAAUUAAGUAGUUUUGACAUCUGUAUGCACUUUUUACAUUUAUGUCGCCAAUUAUGCAAACAUUUUUAUGAUCAGUUAUAAGAACUAAGACGGUUAAAUGUUUUCUUAAUCAUUGGACUUUCACUAAAAGACCUAGAGCAUCAUUAUUGGUAAGCUUUAACAUAGUCUCACCAUUAUAUUAUUGAUUAUUUUCAGCACCAUUGUUAUUAUUAUUAUUAUUGAUAAUUUAGUAAAUCAUACUCCUUUUGUUUCUCAAAAAGUGUCAGUUUGAUAAAUUUCAAGCCGAACAUCCAAUAACAUUGCUCUGGCAGGAAAAAUACCGGAGUCAUUAUCAAAGAUCGACUUUCAAGCAAUAGUUUUGAAGGGAAAUGGUUUCACAGGAGAUGGUUCGAUGUUUUUCGGAGGGAACAAAAGAACAGUACAAUUGGAUCUGUCGAGAAAUUUGUUUGAGUUCGAUCUCUCCAAGGUUAAGUUCGGUAAGAGCAUGGCUUUGUUGGAUCUGAGCCAUAACCGAAUCUUCGGGACGCUUCCUAGGGAACUGACUGAGCUACGUCUCGAGCGUUUCAACAUUAGUUACAAUCGUCUAUGCGGAAAAAUCCCACGUGGUGGUCAACUUCAGACCUUUAAAUCAUAUGAAUUCGCUGAGAACCGCUGUCUUUGUGGGUCCCCACUUAAGAAGGCUUGUUAAGUUUGUUUUAAUGGCGUGACUACAAAUAACUACGUCUUAUCUGUACGAUGAGGAUGUGUUAAAUAUCACUGCUAUUAAAGAAUUGUUCCUUAGAUGAAUUAAUGCUGUUGUAUCAUUUGUUCUUUUUUAAGAAUAACAUUCUUUUUGCUUUCAAAAGUGGUAUAUUUUGAUCAAAAAAAAAAGAAGAAAGUGGUGGGUAUCUCUAGUAUCCACUUGUUUGGCCGUUGUAUUUGUUUCUAUCUUGACACACAGCAACCGUUUUAAAGUUCAUACACUACACUCCACUAUUAACGCAAUUUUUCACACUGUUUUUCUUUGGAAAGUAAGUCAUGUAUUUUGUUAGACUUGACGUAAAAAUAAUAACAUCAUACAUGCUAUUCAUAUCUCUAACAUCUAACAAAUUUGUCAUCAUCUGAUAUAAGUUCUCUGUGGGUACGUACACAAGUUAAUAUAGUGCAUGCAUGAAAAGGUAACCAAAGAUACUCUUUGUAGUAUCACGAGUUAAGUUCAAGUGUUACGAUUAGACUGAUUUUUGAGAGCCGUACAGAAUCCGUCCGAGGGAUCUAUGUGAUUGCAUCCCCAUGCAUUGAUUGAAUUGUUCUUUUUAUUUGCUUUAACUGAAACCUAAAAAAGUCUUGUACAUGUAGGAGGGGUACACGCUUCGAUGGUUGGGUCGCUUCAUCCAACAGAGUUGCAACACUUUUUCCUAUUUCCAUACUAUGCAGUUGCUGCAUUCUGUGAAGGGAGACUAAAGCAUGGAACUGUAGUGAAAAAAACAUCAUUGUCACAAAUUUUUAAAAAUAUUGGAUGCUGACUGUAUGAGUGUGAUUGGUGUUGAUAGGAUGGUGGAUACAUACAGAAACACUCUGUCUUGGAGCUUCAAAAAGUAUGGCUAGGCUCAUAAGUGAGUUCAUAUCAUGCAUGCACACAAAAAUGAAAUAUGAACAUGCAUUUUAACAACCCGAAACUCCUCUCCUCCUGGGAUCCUCAAACCGACUGUUGUACUAGCUGGACCGGCAUUGAGUGCACUAACGGCCGCGUCACAUUAUUCUCUAUGGCCAACGACGACAGUGUCGUCGGUCAGAUCCCGGACCAGAUCGGCGACCUCCCUGAACUCCGUACACUCGAAAUGAGUUCCAUAAAUCUAACCGGAAACAUACCACGCACCAUCACCAAACUCAAGCACCUCGUCCUCAUCUUCUUAAGCUGGAACAGACUAUCCGGUCCAAUUCCUGAUUACAUCAGCGAGCUCAAAAGCGUUACGUUCUUGGACAUCUCCUUUAACAAGUUUACCGGUCCUAUUCCCGGUUGGCUUACUCAGAUGCCGAAGCUUCAGACCUUUCAGGCAAACAACAAUUCGCUAACCGGUCCUAUACCGAACUCUUUCGGUUCCUUUGUAGGCAACGCCCCUAAUCUUUUCUUGCCUUACAAUAAGCUCUCAGGUAUACCAAUAUUUUUUUUUCUCAAUUGUAAUAUUUCAUAAUAUAAGUAGUUUAGGAUUUUUUUUAUAUUACAAAAUAUAAUUAAGUAGUUUUGACAUCUGUAUGCACUUUUUACAUUUAUGUCGCCAAUUAUGCAAACAUUUUUAUGAUCAGUUAUAAGAACUAAGACGGUUAAAUGUUUUCUUAAUCAUUGGACUUUCACUAAAAGACCUAGAGCAUCAUUAUUGGUAAGCUUUAACAUAGUCUCACCAUUAUAUUAUUGAUUAUUUUCAGCACCAUUGUUAUUAUUAUUAUUAUUGAUAAUUUAGUAAAUCAUACUCCUUUUGUUUCUCAAAAAGUGUCAGUUUGAUAAAUUUCAAGCCGAACAUCCAAUAACAUUGCUCUGGCAGGAAAAAUACCGGAGUCAUUAUCAAAGAUCGACUUUCAAGCAAUAGUUUUGAAGGGAAAUGGUUUCACAGGAGAUGGUUCGAUGUUUUUCGGAGGGAACAAAAGAACAGUACAAUUGGAUCUGUCGAGAAAUUUGUUUGAGUUCGAUCUCUCCAAGGUUAAGUUCGGUAAGAGCAUGGCUUUGUUGGAUCUGAGCCAUAACCGAAUCUUCGGGACGCUUCCUAGGGAACUGACUGAGCUACGUCUCGAGCGUUUCAACAUUAGUUACAAUCGUCUAUGCGGAAAAAUCCCACGUGGUGGUCAACUUCAGACCUUUAAAUCAUAUGAAUUCGCUGAGAACCGCUGUCUUUGUGGGUCCCCACUUAAGAAGGCUUGUUAAGUUUGUUUUAAUGGCGUGACUACAAAUAACUACGUCUUAUCUGUACGAUGAGGAUGUGUUAAAUAUCACUGCUAUUAAAGAAUUGUUCCUUAGAUGAAUUAAUGCUGUUGUAUCAUUUGUUCUUUUUUAAGAAUAACAUUCUUUUUGCUUUCAAAAGUGGUAUAUUUUGAUCAAAAAAAAAAGAAGAAAGUGGUGGGUAUCUCUAGUAUCCACUUGUUUGGCCGUUGUAUUUGUUUCUAUCUUGACACACAGCAACCGUUUUAAAGUUCAUACACUACACUCCACUAUUAACGCAAUUUUUCACACUGUUUUUCUUUGGAAAGUAAGUCAUGUAUUUUGUUAGACUUGACGUAAAAAUAAUAACAUCAUACAUGCUAUUCAUAUCUCUAACAUCUAACAAAUUUGUCAUCAUCUGAUAUAAGUUCUCUGUGGGUACGUACACAAGUUAAUAUAGUGCAUGCAUGAAAAGGUAACCAAAGAUACUCUUUGUAGUAUCACGAGUUAAGUUCAAGUGUUACGAUUAGACUGAUUUUUGAGAGCCGUACAGAAUCCGUCCGAGGGAUCUAUGUGAUUGCAUCCCCAUGCAUUGAUUGAAUUGUUCUUUUUAUUUGCUUUAACUGAAACCUAAAAAAGUCUUGUACAUGUAGGAGGGGUACACGCUUCGAUGGUUGGGUCGCUUCAUCCAACAGAGUUGCAACACUUUUUCCUAUUUCCAUACUAUGCAGUUGCUGCAUUCUGUGAAGGGAGACUAAAGCAUGGAACUGUAGUGAAAAAAACAUCAUUGUCACAAAUUUUUAAAAAUAUUGGAUGCUGACUGUAUGAGUGUGAUUGGUGUUGAUAGGAUGGUGGAUACAUACAGAAACACUCUGUCUUGGAGCUUCAAAAAGUAUGGCUAGGCUCAUAAGUGAGUUCAUAUCAUGCAUGCACACAAAAAUGAAAUAUGAACAUUGCAUACACUUCAUACUAAAAUAAUCUUACGAGAGAGAGACGUGGAUAUUGGAUUGAUGAAACAUUGAAGCGAACCGGAGGACUUCUAACCGUACCAAGAUUCGAACAUACGGUAUAUGUAGUAGACGACUAAGCCUCUGCUCAUUUAUUUAGGUUCAUGUUUUGCAAAAUAAGAGGAGAAUAAUUGGUCUUCCUUGUGUCUAGGAACCAGACAGACAUAGUUUUUUUGAGUUCUAUUGCUUUUGGAACCAUGCCUCACUGCGUAAAAAAAUAACCACUCAAAUCACAAUGAAGAUCCUUCUUUGUCUCUCUAUCUUCUUCAUCUCUUCUCUCCCAUCCUCUUACAGCUGCAACUCAAAAGACAAAAACACUCUCCUUCAAAUCAAGAAACAUUUUAACAACACGGAAUUCCUCUCCUCAUGGGAUCCUCAAACCGACUGUUGUACAAGCUGGACAGGCAUCGAGUGCACUAACGGCCGCGUCACAUUAUUCUCUAUGGCCAACUACAGAACCCUCUACGGUCAGAUCCCUGACCAGAUCGGUGACCUCCUUGAACUCCGUACACUCGAAAUGAGUCACAUGAAACUAACCGGAAACAUACCACGCACCAUCACCAAACUCAAGCACCUCGUCUUCAUCUUCUUACUGUGGAACAAACUAUCCGGUCCAAUUCCUGAUUACAUCAGCGAGCUCAAAAGCGUUACGUUCUUGGACAUCUCCUUUAACAAGUUUACUGGUCCUAUUCCCGGUUGGCUUACUCAGAUGCCUAAGCUUCAGACCUUUCAGGCCGACAACAAUUCGCUAACCGGUCCUGUACCGAACUCUUUCGGUUCCUUCGUAGGCAGCGUCCCUAAUCUCUUCUUGAAAAACAAUAAGCUCUCAGG